rfam:Schistosoma mattheei strain Denwood, Zambia genome assembly, scaffold: SMTD_scaffold0000102
GUCCAGCUGACGAGUCCCAAAUAGGACGAAACGCGCGUCCUGGGU